ensembl:lncRNA
AUUGCCUUCUCCGAUACGAGGAAGGAAGAUCAGGAAAUGCCUUCUGAUGUGACCAGCUGAAACUCAGGUACCUCCAAGGAGCUCUGAGGUGCUGCAGUCGCCAUGGACAGCACAGGGAAGGGGAUCUGGAAUGUCCGGGUUUCAGCAGGGGUCCCUCUGGGGCCGUGAUGCUUUAGUCCAACCAGGAGGAAGCCACAGGCACCCCCACAGGUGGUCUUCCCCGCCACGUCGCCCCACCACCACCACCUUCUCCCCGUAGCUGAGCUGGAGCUCUGCUUCCCCAGAGGCCUGCACAGGAUGUUCCAUCUCCUCUGCUCCAGGAGGGGAACUCCUGUGCGUUCUCUGAGACCCAGGCCAAGGGUCAGGGCUGCUCAACCACCGACAGGUGCUGUGAUGGGGCUUCUGAUAACCACGCUCUCAAAUCAUGACCAGUGUUGAUCCGCCCCAGUUGCCCCAGUUGUUGGUAGAUUAUCCGCAUCCCUCUGUACCCUCCCGGCCAGCUGAUAAGUUCCGAGACAAGGCCCACAUCUUCGUGAAGGCAGCGCGGAGCUUGACCCCUGACUCAGUGUAUGCUGCCUGGGGAGCAUUUCUCACUCCACGCCUUCCAUGCUGGCAGUCCCUCAGCUGAGUUGUCUGCUUCAUAGAGUUAACGGAGAAUUAAAGGAGGAAACACACGUAAAGCACUUAGAAGGGUGUUGAUCGAACCUAAGUUCAGUUCAGUCGCUCUGUCGUGUCCGACUCUUUGCGACCAAUGGACUGCAGCACCCCAGGCCCCCUGUCCAUCACCAACUCCGGAGCUUGCUCCGACUCAUGUCCACCGAGUCAGCAAGAAUGCAGCACAUGUGACCUGCAUUCCGUGCCUUGUACCCUUUGCACCCAGCAUCGGCUCUGGCACAGUGGAGGAGCUUUUGAAUGAAAUAAACGAUGAAUGGGGGCUUCUCUGGUGGCGCAGCUGGUAAAGAAUUCGCCUGCAAUGCAGGAGACCCUGGUUCGAUUCCUGGGUGGGGAAGAUCCCCUGGAGAAGGGAUAGGCGACCCACUCCAGUAUUCUUGGGCUUCCCUGGUAGCUCAGCUGGUAAAGAAUCUGCCUGCAAUGUGGGAGACCUGGGUUUGAUCCCUGGGUUGGGAAGACCUCCUGGAGAAGGGAAAGGCUACCCACUCCAGUAUUCUGGCCUGAAGAACCCCAUGGACUGUACAGUCCGUGGGGUUGCAAAGAGUCGGGCACGACUGAGCGCCGUUCACCUUCAUUGUCUGGGCUCACCUGGCAGCUGCCACAGCAACCUAGAGACACACAGGUGGUCAGAGGAGGAGAAUAUCCAAAACCAGUUUUCCAGGUGAGUUUACCUGCAGGCAGCACUCAGGGGACCUCAGGAGUAGGAAGUCUCCUGUGCUCAUAAUAGUAAUUAAGCCAACAUCUUUUUAACCAGGCAUUGAUAUUACGGGUUAGACAAGGAAGUGAAAAAAAUCCCAGCCUGUAGGUUGAAUCCAGCUUCAAGGCCUGGCAGUGGCUUUGAGAAGGAGAAGAGGGCAAUAAACUACAUUUCAAUUAAACCCACACACACCCCCACGACUAGAGUAGGUCUUUAGGUCGUGUCCGACUCUUGCAAUCCCAUGGACUGUAGCCCGCCAGACUCCUCUGUCCAGGGCCCAGGAUUGCUUUUAUGAAUGAGGCUGCUGUUUAAAAAAGCUGCAUCACAGCCACCGUUUUGAGCGGGGCUUCUGAGGAUGACCCAAGAUGGUUCUGUGCCUCUCUCCCACCGCCUUAAAGUACCCUGGGGUCCUCUGACUUUCUCCCCAAGGGCCGCCUGCUGCUGCCUGGAGCCAUGCUCCCACUGCAGGAACAAGCCGGCGGGCUCCUCGCUGAGCAGCUCAGCUGCAGGCGUGGAAGCCGGUGUUCCUGUGAACUGUGUGGCCGUCUGAGAGGAGCAGCCAGCUGCAGGAGGCUGGCCGGCUGCUGGAGGAGGGACCCAGCACAGCGUGGGGCAAGGGUGCAGACCACACACCCGCCUGGCCUUCAGCUUUGCAAGUCCAGAAACAGCGGGUGCUCUAGGGCGCCUUCCACCUACUCCCACUCAUUAAGCCCACAGAGGCCCUUGCUUAUAC